ensembl:lncRNA
GUUGAAAUCCUAAAGAUUGCGCUGGUCAUAAUUAGCGGAGUUCACAGCUUUCAUGCCCUGUGCGUUCAAGUGUAUCGCUUGAGUGCUCAGGCGCUAACAGCCAAGCUGUACAGUACACAGUGCCCUCUUCGUGUUCGCAGGCCCAGUGCUUCGAAGCCAACCGCAAUCUAAUCCUGCAGCCUCGUGGUUAUCGGUAAUUAGUUAGCUGUCAAAUUAGAGAUGUCAAAUUAAAAUGAAAGUAGACUUUAUUUAAUUCUUAAAAUGAAGUUGUUGCAAAGGCCAGGGUCCUCCUGCAAAAGUAAACGCAUAGGGAAUAUAUUAAUUUUAAAAUCAUCAACUUUUAAAUAUAAUUAUUGAAUAGCCAGAACUGUGUGGAUUGUCGUGAAGAGUGCACACACACGGCGCAGUAGCAGCAUAGUUAAGACAUUAGGCACCGUUUGACAAUCAACAAACUAGGCCCACAUACAUUGGCCUAUUUGUAACGACUUACUACCGUGCAUACGGCGAGAAUGUGUGAUUAUUUUAGCCGUGAUCAUUGUGCAACCAGGACUGAACGGGCACGACAGCGAUUGAGCCCAAAAACACUGGUGGCCAACCUGUGAGCGCCCGAUCCGGCAGAGGCAGCGUGACUGCGAGGGGGAGACAGAGAAGCGAAAAAAAACCAAAAACAUUGCUGCCUUCUACAGCUUGUGGAGUACACGCGGGUGCGUUUUGGGGAAAGGAACUUGAAAACUCCCGUUACUGGGGGUACGAAAGACAACUUAAGGCAGAAUUAAGUUGGUUUUUACGUCCAGGUUGAAAGAAAAGAGAGAGAGAGAUCGAGAGAUACUAACGUGGUUAACUCGGUACACGCGAGAGGCAGAGCUGCCACGAAUAGAAACUCGGCAGCAGCAGCAGCAGCACGAGCCUGGUCAGGGUAGCACCGCGUGCUCCCCUCUCACUGGACUUCUACCUUACCCCCCUAAGUCUGGCUCGGUGGACCCGUUUUAAACUCGUUUUUACCAGUUGGAUUCAAACCACAGACCGAAGACGGGACUUAACGACGUUAUUCGCGAAGGAGAGAAAUGCCAACGGCGGUGACAAAGAAGAGAUUCAGGGAAUCUUUGUCCAGGCCAUUACCAGUUCUGGCGUAAACACUGUUAUACAAGAGCAUUGACAGUCAGACCACGGCGCUUUAUGUGCACUUAAAGAUGCCGAAAAGUGCUUGCCAUUAGGAGUGCUGCAUGGUGUCUGUAUCAGAGACACUUCGGAAACACUGCGUCAGGUCAUUUCAAAAGCAUUAAAACAAUAACGACAUUUUCCGACGGAGGACAACAGAGAGCUGGAAUAUGAGGUGUUCCAUGGCAACUGAGUCACAGUGGCGCAGUUUGCCGUUGGCAUGUGCAACGAAAUGACACCACUGGCUAACGGUGUUGAUUGGCCCGGCUACAGCUAAUAAUGCAGCAACUGAAGACACAUCUAGAAGGGUGCAGGGGGAACACAGCCGAGGAUCGACCCGCAAAGUACCCAACUUGCAGUCCCCAUGCACCCUCUGAUGUGGCAGAUGGAUGGGGAUAUGCAGGAAGCGGGGAUCUUUGGCGGGGAUGGGCUUGGAUGACAGGCCCUUUCUGCCUCAGAAGGGCCGUGGUGGCCCUGGCUUCCAGCAGCCCCUGUGUCCCCCCCUGACAGGGCCCUGAUGCCUUCUGAGAGCAUUGUGUUGACAGCCCGUCAGGGGUUCACGACGCAAAGCUCAGUAAAAAAAGGACCAGACCAGACAAAGGGAGGGAGGGCAGUGCCCUGGACAUUUUAUCAAAUAAUGUAUUAAAAAGGUAUGGAUUUAGAUGAUUACUAGUUUAGUAUUCCAUUUAAUUUGAACAUGUUAUCCAUUACCGAGUUGAAUCAUGUUUCUGUAUGUGACAACCAGAAUAUCUACCUACUAUGCUGCCUGCUAUGAUUAUUGCUUUUGGUAUUACAAUUUUAUAUAUGGGAUAACAUAUACCAAUAUUGUUGUCUUAGUGUUGUGAAGACUGAUAUAUCAGAAUGGUAUUGGUGCAUCCCUAAAGCCAUGAUGUCAAUUUCUCCCAAUAGAAUUCCGUCAGACUGCAGCUUGUAUGAGCCUACAUGUGACAUGAUGUGAGUUGGUUGAAUGCAGCUAUACAGAACUUGGGCACAAUCCAGGCACUUUCCCUCCAAAGCCCUCUUUUAGCGCCCC